GCGGCAAGAGCUCAACUUUGGAAUCGCUCCGGCGAGUUGUAGUCUGGAGGUGGCCCCCACGAGGUGUUCUAGCAGCAGGCAAGUCCUUUGGAACAAGGCGCCAGCGAGGGUGACAGCCCCGUACCUGCUUUUGCUAGUGCUUCCUGUGGCCCACCGACGAGUCGAGUUGUUUGGGAAUGCAGCUCUAAGUGGGUGGUAAAUUCCAUCUAAGGCUAAAUAUUGGCGAGAGACCGAUAGCGAACAAGUACAGUGAUGGAAAGAUGAAAAGCACUUUGAAAAGAGAGUGAAACAGUACGUGAAAUUGUUGAAAGGGAAGGGCUUGCACCCAGACACGGUUUCGGCCGGGCCAGCAUCAAGUAGAACGGGGUUAAAAGACUUGGGGAAUGUAGCUACUUCGGUAGUGUUAUAGCCCUUGGUGAUGACCCCUGUUUUGCUUGAGGACAGC
rnacentral:rRNA from 1 species